GCAUGGGAAUCUACCGUUCUCUACGGAAUAACUCAGGGAAACUUGUGCUAAUACCGUAUACGCCCUUUUGGGGAAAGAUUUAUCGGAGAAUGAUGAGCCCAUGUUGGAUUAGCUAGUUGGUAGGGUAAAGGCCUACCAAGGCGACGAUCCAUAGCUGGUCUGAGAGGAUGAUCAGCCACACUGGGACUGAGACACGGCCCAGACUCCUACGGGAGGCAGCAGUGGGGAAUAUUGGACAAUGGGCGCAAGCCUGAUCCAGCCAUGCCGCGUGAGUGAUGAAGGCCCUAGGGUUGUAAAGCUCUUUCACCGGUGAAGAUAAUGACGGUAACCGGAGAAGAAGCCCCGGCUAACUUCGUGCCACCAGCCUCUUUAUUACGAAGGGGGCUAGGGUUGUUCGGAUUGACGGGGCGUAAAACACACGAAGCAGACUUGUAGGUCAGGGGUGAAAGCCCUAGGGCUCAACCCCGGAGCUGCAUUUGGUAGUGGA
rnacentral:rRNA from 1 species